CGGCUUCCUACGGGAGGCAGCAGUGGGGAAUAUUGGACAAUGGGCGAAAGCCUGAUCCAGCAAUACCGCGUGUGUGAAGAAGGCCUGAGGGUUGUAAAGCACUUUCAAUAGGAAGGAAUACCUGCCGGCUAAUACCCGGUAGACUGACAUUACCUAUACAAGAAGCACCGGCUAACUCCGUGCCAGCAGCCGCGGUAAUACGGAGGGUGCAAGCGUUAAUCGGAAUUACUGGGCGUAAAGCGUGCGUAGGCGGUUUUUUAAGUCAGAUGUGAAAGCCCUGGGCUUAACCUGGGAACUGCAUUUGAUACUGGGAGACUAGAGUUUAGUAGAGGGGAGUGGAAUUUCAGGUGUAGCGGUGAAAUGCGUAGAGAUCUGAAGGAACACCAGUGGCGAAGGCGGCUCCCUGGACUAAAACUGACGCUGAGGUACGAAAGCGUGGGUAGCAAACAGGAUUAGAUACCCGAGUAGUCCAAGCCG
rnacentral:rRNA from 1 species